UUUUGCUUUAAAUUUCUUUGGACAGCCGCUGGGUUUUGGUGAAAGAAGGAGCUCCGGCGAGCCCUCCCUCCGUCGAAGGGUCGUGUCCAGCCCUCCCUCUAGCGAAGGUUCGUCUUCAAUGGUUGUAAACGUCAAGCACUCGAGUGGCACCCGCCACCCGCCACCCGCCACCCACCAGCCCUUACCGUCUUCUCCAGAGGAGUCUUCAAAUCCGACGAGCAAUAUAGAGAUUAGAGACUACAGAAACGAGGAGUGGCUAAAUUACGAAGAUCUGAACUCUGCUGCUGCUACUUCUACUUCUUCUGUUCUUGAUCUGCUUAGGAUCUAUGGCCAUGGGGAGUUGUUGUUACUUUGAAGAUUCGAGAACUAAGAAGAAGAAGAAGAAGAUGUUAUCGGGAAGAAGCCUCUGUGAUCGUUAUAAGGAAGAAGCUCUGCCUCUGUGACCUAAAAAUCGUCAACUAGGAAAUUACUGGACUGCCCCCUCAUCAUCACUCGUUUUUCUACUCUGCUGCUCCAGAGUAGAAUAGAAAACUCAAAUUGAAUCAUAGAAAGGGAAGAAAAACGGAGUUUCUUAAUCUUCCAUCAAUGUCGAUCUGUAGCGUUUCUUUCUUUUUCCCUCUUUUUUCUUGGUGUCUUUCCCUUAAUGAGUUUUUGGGAUGAUUUCAGAACAAAUUAACCAUCCUAAUUGCUCUAUAUAGCAGCUUUUCUAAGAUCAUCCAUGAUGCCCUAAAAUAGAGUCUCUGGAAGCUAACAAAUCAGUUAAUUAAAGUUGUCUAUAACCAUUGUUUAACUCAAAGAUGAAGAGGAAGUUGGCAUUUUUCUUCCA